AACGCACAUUGCGCCCUUUGGCAUUCCGAAGGGCAUGCCUGUUCGAGCGUCAUUUUAACCAUCAAGCACCGCUUGGUCUUGGGUGCUGGUCCUUGUGGGACCCGCCCGUAACCCGUUGGCGGUACCGGCCGGCCCUGGGCGUAGCAGAAACUUUCGCCCUUGAGACCGCGCUGGCGCCCGCCAGGCAAGCAGCCGUCCUAGAGUUUGACCUCGGAUCAGGUAGGGGUACCCGCUGAACUUAA
rnacentral:misc_RNA from 1 species